rnacentral:rRNA from 1 species
UACGCGAUACCUUUAGCUUAGACCUAGUUUUUAUACCGCCGUCCAAAGGAUAAAAUCAAAUAUUUUAUCCGUGCCAUACCAUUCAAGUAGAAAUGUCAGGUCAAGGUGAAGUCAAUGUUUAAGUUUCAAUGAGUUAUUAAUAAAAAUAAUUUAUGGACUUCUGUUUAAAAACAGAAAUCGAAUUAAGAUUUAAAAGUAUUUUCAGUUCAAUACACUAAAAAGAAUCAGCAAAAAAGGUGUACAUAUUGCCCGUCGCCCUCGUCCAAAGAUGAGGUAAGUCGUAACACAGUUAAUAUACUGGAAAGUGUAUUAAGCGUAACAACUCCAAACUACUUGUAUUUCACUUACACUGAAAAAAUCUCAUUUACUCUUGUACGAAUCCUUAUUCACAAAAUAUUCUCACUCAAUAUAUUUCUAGCCUAACGCUUAAAAAACUGAAAAGGAACAAUAAAAUAUAUUUCAAGUAAAUUUAUGUACCUUUUGUAUCAGGGAUUUUCAAAUCUCCACGGCAUAUCCCAAACUCCCGAAACAAAACGAACUUUGAAUUUUAGUAAAAGUUGUGGCACAAACAAUAUAAAUUUUUCAAAGUUGAGAUAUUCUUUUCAAGUAUUCUCAUAUCUGGUUCACUUUUCACCAACUCUUUCAUCUAGGUCAAAGAACAAGCUUUGAGCCAAGUUUAUCCUCUUUUCAUUUUCUGAACUUAGAAUUAAUAGUAUUCACCCCGUUUUCAAACUUAAUAUUAUAAUACAAUCAAACAAAACAUCAUACAAGUGAGUCACCCUAUCAACACCACAAUGAAAAUAUUAGUAAAAUUUCCCCCUUCUUCAACUCCCCCUAUAAUUUUCUCCCGUCAUAAGCUUACAUUGAAUUUAUGAACUAGGCCCACAAUCA